rnacentral:rRNA from 1 species
UGGGGAAUUUUGGACAAUGGGCGCAAGCCUGAUCCAGCCAUGCCGCGUGCGGGAAGAAGGCCUUCGGGUUGUAAACCGCUUUUGUCAGGGAAGAAAUCUUCUGGGUUAAUACCUCGGGAGGAUGACGGUACCUGAAGAAUAAGCACCGGCUAACUACGUGCCAGCAGCCGCGGUAAUACGUAGGGUGCAAGCGUUAAUCGGAAUUACUGGGCGUAAAGCGUGCGCAGGCGGUUAUGCAAGACAGAUGUGAAAUCCCCGGGCUCAACCUGGGAACUGCAUUUGUGACUGCAUAGCUAGAGUGCGGCAGAGGGGGAUGGAAUUCCGCGUGUAGCAGUGAAAUGCGUAGAUAUGCGGAGGAACACCGAUGGCGAAGGCAAUCCCCUGGGCCUGCACUGACGCUCAUGCACGAAAGCGUGGGGAGCAAACAGGAUUAGAUACCCUGGUAGUCCACGCCCUAAGCGAUGUCAACUGGUUGUUGGGAAGGUUCCUUCUCAGUAACGUAGCUAACGCGUGAAGUUGACCGCCUGGGGAGUACGGCCGCAAGGUUG